CGAAGGAUCCAAGCGUUGUCCGGAUUUACUGGGUUUAAAGGGUGCGUAGGCGGACUUUUAAGUCAGUGGUGAAAGCCUGUAGCUUAACUAUAGAAUUGCCAUUGAAACUGAAAGUCUUGAGUGUGGUUGAGGUAACUGGAAUAUAUCAUGUAGCGGUGAAAUGCUUAGAUAUGAUAUAGAACACCAAUUGCGAAGGCAGGUUACUGAGCCACAACUGACGCUGAGGCACGAAAGCGUGGGGAUCAAACAAGAUUAGAUACCCUGGUAGUCCACGCCGUAAACGUUGAAUACUCGAUCUUAGCGAUACACAGUUAGGAUCCAAGCGAAAGCGUUAAGUAUUCCACCUGGGAAGUACGAUCGCAAGAUUG
rnacentral:rRNA from 1 species